AAACAACGCGUUAUCACGCGUUACCACACGUUACCAUAGGCGUACCAUGAAAUAAUUGCUUUUAUUUAGGUUUUUCAUUAAUAAAGCAACGCGUUACCACGCGUUACCAUGAAUUCUUGAAAAAUAUAUAUAUAUAUAUUAUUUUUUAAUAAAAAUACACGGUAACGCGUGGUAACGCAUUGCUUUAUUAAUAAAAAAACUAAAUAAAAGCAAUUAUAUCACAGUACGCCUAUGGUAUCACGUGGUAAUGCAUGAUAACUCGUUGUUU
rnacentral:miRNA from 1 species